rnacentral:rRNA from 1 species
AGAGUUUGAUUAUGGCUCAGGACGAACGCUGGCGGCGUGCUUAACACAUGCAAGUCGAACGAGGACUAGAGAGCUUGCUCUCUAUAGCCGAGUGGCGAACGGGUGAGUAACACGUGACCAACCUGUCUUCUGGCGGGGGGCAACCUGGGGAAACCUGGGCUAAUACCGCAUAAAGCCUUUCCCUCACAUGUGGGAAAGACCAAAGGGGGCCUCUGCUUGCAAGCUCUCACCGGAAGAGGGGGUCGCGGCGUAUCAGCUUGUUGGUGAGGUAAUGGCUCACCAAGGCUACGACGCGUAGCGGGUCUGAGAGGACGAUCCGUCACAUUGGGACUGAGAUACGGCCCAGACUCCUACGGGAGGCAGCAGUGGGGAAUAUUGCGCAAUGGACGAAAGUCUGACGCAGCGACGCCGCGUGUGGGAUGAAGCCUUUCGGGGUGUAAACCACUGUCGGGGGGGAAGAAAAACGCGCAUCUAAAUAAGGUGUGCGAUUGACGGUACCUUCAAAGGAAGCGCCGGCUAACUCCGUGCCAGCAGCCGCGGUAAGACGGAGGGCGCAAGCGUUGUUCGGAAUUACUGGGCGUAAAGCGCACGCAGGCGGUUUACUAAGUCCCUUGUGAAAGCCCGGAGCUCAACUCCGGAACUGCAGGGGAUACUGGAAGACUGGAGACAGGUAGAGGCUAGCGGAAUUCCUGGUGUAGCGGUGGAAUGCGUAGAUAUCAGGAAGAACACCUGUGGCGAAGGCGGCUAGCUGGGCCUGUUCUGACGCUCAUGUGCGAAAGCGUGGGGAGCAAACAGGAUUAGAUACCCUGGUAGUCCACGCUGUAAACGAUGGGCACUAGAUGCCGGGCAUAUAGACGUGUUC